CCUAGAGAGGCCUGGCAUGCUUCCAUUCUGUCUCUUAGGGUCCUGCCACCACCACAUAUGUUAGCCUGCUGGAGGACGACAGCCAGCCAACCUCCAGACAUAAACUUUUAAUGAAUUUAAGGGGAAAAUUAUACAUCUCAACAGAAAGCGCUUACCCUCUCUGAACCAUGUUCCUCCUGUGGUCACAAGAGGCUCAUUAGGCUGGCCUUAAAAACAGCAGUUGGGACAACGAGAAAGCUCCACAGAAAAUCAUGAUGAGCAGUGUUCAUUAUCUAUUCAUGAGCACCUUUCUUGCAUAUUUAGCAUUUGCAAAAUAUUGGAUGUCAUCAGCAUAUGGGAGUCCAGGAGAAAUCUCACCUUCUUGCAAAGACAAAAAUGGAAACGGCUGAGUCUUUCUACCCAGUUGAGGGAACCCAAUCUGAACAUGACGCCUAGUUGUUCUUUGACUCAGUUUAAAUGAUGUGAAGCUGAGCUGUACUCUCUGCAGCCCAAAUAUCUCUGGUUGAACAAAGAACAUUAGCACCUAAGGCCAACAACUCUCAAAGUUUCUGUACUGUGAAUGGUCCAACAGCUGAAAAAACUCAAGUUCAUCUCACCUCCAAUGUCUCUCUUGAAUCUAUUCCUUUCUGUCCAUCUACACAGUUAGAUACUAACCAUCAGCCAUGCCAUCUCUUGCCACCAUACAUCAUUUGUAAUAUAAUUAGUCUCACACUUAUCUCAGUUUCCCAUCUCACUCCUCUCUUAUCUAUUUUCCACAUUACAAACUGAGUGAUUGUUUUGCUUCCUACAACACAGUUCUUAUCAUCACCAUUGUCAUCAUUGAAAUUAUAUUAUCAUAAUUAUCAUAAGUCAGGUCUUAACUGUAAGCAAAAAAAUAAACUCUGGCUAAUUAAAGCAGAAAUAAUGAACUUAAUGGAUAUGGGCUGAUUUCCAUAAUUCCUAGGAAGUCCAGAGAACUAUUUCAGAAGCUACACAUCCAGGAAUCCCUUCUUUUCAGGGAUGCAUGGUGAAGGCACACAGCCUCCACCG
rnacentral:lncRNA from 1 species